rnacentral:rRNA from 1 species
UACGAAGGGGGCUAGCGUUGUUCGGAUUUACUGGGCGUAAAGCGCACGUAGGCGGAUAUUUAAGUCAGAGGUGAAAUCCCAGGGCUCAACCCUGGAACUGCCUUUGAUACUGGAUGUCUUGAGUAUGGAAGAGGUGAGUGGAAUUCCGAGUGUAGAGGUAAAAUUCGUAGAUAUUCGGAGGAACACCAGUGGCGAAGGCGGCUCACUGGUCCAUUACUGACGCUGAGGUGCGAAAGCGUGGGGUGCUCUCA